rnacentral:rRNA from 1 species
AUGAGAAAGCUAUUAACACACUCAUCGAUUGUCUUCCCAUCGUUGCAUGCCAAUGCUAGAUUGAGAGAGUAUAUGAGCACACGUGCUAUUCUUUCCACCAAGAACGAUCAUGUCGAUGACCUGAAUGACAAGAUGAUCUCCAGGUUUCCAGGCUCAGAAAAGUUAUACCAUAGAUUCGACUCCAUCGAGGAUGACUUGCAGAAUAAUUACACGAUUGAUUUUCUAAACUCGAUCACACCAAAUGGCUUGCCCCCGCAUGUGUUGAGAUUAAAGGUUAACUACCCGGUCAUUCUGCUCCGGAACCUCGACCCUCAUAAUGGCCUAUGCAAUGGGACACGACUUAUGAUUAGAGCCUUCCAGGAUAAUGCAAUCGACGCAGAGAUUGUUGGUGGUCAGCAUGCUGGAAAGACGGUCUUCAUACCUAGGAUCCCUAUGUCGCCCUCGGAGGACAUCUCACUUCCUUUCAAACUUAAGAGGAAACAGUUCCCUAUUCGCCUGAGUUUUGCGAUGACAAUUAACAAGGCGCAGGUUCAGACUAUCCCAAACGUCGGUAUUUACCUUCCCGAGCCAGUAUUCUCACAUGGUCAUCUAUAUGUUGCAUUGUCAAGGGGAGUGUCCAGAGAGACGACGCGUAUUUUGGCCAAGCCAAACAACGAGGUUGAUAAAUCUGGGAAAAGCACCAAGAACAUCGUCUAUAGAGAUGUUUUGGGGAGAUGA